GUCGUCUAAGACUAUGCCAUGCACGUCUAAGUACAAACUAAAUGAUGGUGAAACUGCAAAUGGCUCAUUACAACGGUUAUGAUGUACCCGGGAGUUCCGAUGGAUAUUUCCAGUAACACUACAACUAAUACAUGUCCCUGCGUUUAUUACCUUCGCACAGUCCGUCGCUGAGUCAUGGUAAACAGUUGAUCGACUCGACGUCCCGGAACAGUUUCCGCCCCAUCAACUUCGAUGGUUGGGUAUUGGCCUACCAUUGCAACAACGGGUAACGAGGAAUUAGGGUUUGAUUUCCGAGAGGGAGCCUGAUAAACGGCUACCACAUCUACGGAUGGCAGCAGGCGCGCAAAUUACCCAAUGCAGACACUGUGAGGUAGUGACGAGAAAUAAUAAAGCGGGACUUCUGUUUCGCUAUUAUAAUGAGGAAUAACCAAAGGUCAUUCCGAUUAGCAACUGAUGGGAAAGUCUGGUGCCAGCAGCCGCGGUAAUACCAUCGUCAGUAU
rnacentral:rRNA from 1 species